UGGGGAAUAUUGCACAAUGGGCGCAAGCCUGAUGCAGCCAUGCCGCGUGUAUGAAGAAGGCCUUCGGGUUGUAAAGUACUUUCAGCGGGGAGGAAGGUGUUGUGGUUAAUAACCACAGCAAUUGACGUUACCCGCAGAAGAAGCACCGGCUAACUCCGUGCCAGCAGCCGCGGUAAUACGGAGGGUGCAAGCGUUAAUCGGAAUUACUGGGCGUAAAGCGCACGCAGGCGGUCUGUCAAGUCGGAUGUGAAAUCCCCGGGCUCAACCUGGGAACUGCAUCCGAAACUGGCAUGCUUGAGUCUUGUAGAGGGGGGUAGAAUUCCAGGUGUAGCGGUGAAAUGCGUAGAGAUCUGGAGGAAUACCGGUGGCGAAGGCGGCCCCCUGGACAAAGACUGACGCUCAGGUGCGAAAGCGUGGGGAGCAAACA
rnacentral:rRNA from 1 species